UACGUAGGUGGCAAGCGUUGUCCGGAAUCACUGGGCGUAAAGCGCGCGCAGGCGGCGAUCUACGUCUGGGGUGAAAGCCCGGAGCUCAACUCCGGGACUGCCUUGGAUACGGGAUCGCUUGAGGAUUGGAGAGGCAAGGGGAAUUCCACGUGUAGCGGUGAAAUGCGCAGAUAUCGGGAAGAACACCCGUGGCGAAGGCGGCUCUCUGGAACGCAACUGACGCUGAGACGCGAAAGCGUGGGGAGCAAACAGG
rnacentral:rRNA from 1 species